rnacentral:rRNA from 1 species
AACGAACGCUGGCGGCAUGCCUAACACAUGCAAGUCGAACGAACCCUUCGGGUCUUGUGUCGCACGGCUUCGUCACGCGUGGGAACCUUCCCUUAGGUUCAGACUACCUCCCCGACAGGGGUGCUAAUACCGGACAAUGUCUUCGGACCAAAGAUUUAUCGACUUUGGAUGUGCCCGCGUUGGAUUAGCUAGUUCGUAGGGUAAAAGCCUACUACGGCGCCGAUCCAUAGCUGGUCUGAGAGACAGAUCAGCGACACUGGGACGGGGACCCGGCCCAGACUCCUACGCGAGGCGGCAGAGCGGAAUAGUGGAACGUGGGCGAAAGCCUGAUCCAGCAAUGCCGCGUGAGUGAUGAAGGCAGUAGGGUUGUAAAGCUCAAUUACCCGGGAUGAUAAUGACAGUACCGGGAGAGUAAGCCCCGGCUAACUCCGUG